GCAUCGGUAGCUCAGGCACUAGAGCGUCGGCCUUGUAAGCCGAAUGACGGGGGCUUGGAACCCCCUCGAUGCC
rnacentral:tRNA from 1 species